rnacentral:rRNA from 1 species
AAAAAAACCAGAAAAAGAAAUGGAAAAACGACAACUUUGAGCGGUGGAUCACUCGGCUCGUGCGUCGAUGAAGAGCGCAGCCAGCUGCGUGAAUUAAUGUGAAUUGCAGAACACAUUGAA